rnacentral:rRNA from 1 species
GACGAACGCUGGCGGCGUGCUUAACACAUGCAAGUCGAACGGAAAGGCCCUGCUUUUGUGGGGUGCUCGAGUGGCGAACGGGUGAGUAACACGUGAGUAACCUGCCCUUGACUUUGGGAUAACUUCAGGAAACUGGGGCUAAUACCGGAUAGGAGCUCCUGCUGCAUGGUGGGGGUUGGAAAGUUUCGGCGGUUGGGGAUGGACUCGCGGCUUAUCAGCUUGUUGGUGGGGUAGUGGCUUACCAAGGCUUUGACGGGUAGCCGGCCUGAGAGGGUGACCGGCCCCAUUGGGACUGAGAUACCGCCCAGACUCCUACGGGAGGCAGCAGUGGGGAAUAUUGCACAAUGGGCGGAAGCCUGAUGCAGCAACGCCGCGUGCGGGAUGACGGCCUUCGGGUUGUAAACCGCUUUCGCCUGUGACGAAGCGUGAGUGACGGUAAUGGGUAAAGAAGCACCGGCUAACUACGUG